AUUGAACGCUGGCGGAACGCUUUACACAUGCAAGUCGAACGGCAGCACGGACUUCGGUCUGGUGGCGAGUGGCGAACGGGUGAGUAAUGUAUCGGAACGUGCCCAGUCGUGGGGGAUAACCUAGUGAAAAUUACGCUAAUACCGCAUACGAUCUAUGGAUGAAAGCGGGGGAUCGCAAGACCGUGCGCGAUUGGAGCGGCCGAUAUCAGAUUAGGUAGUUGGUGGGGUAAAGGCCCACCAAGCCAACGAUCUGUAGCUGGUCUGAGAGGACGACCAGCCACACUGGAACUGAGACACGGUCCAGACUCCUACGGGAGGCAGCAGUGGGGAAUUUUGGACAAUGGGCGAAAGCCUGAUCCAGCCAUUCCGCGUGCAGGAUGAAGGCCCUCGGGUUGUAAACUGCUUUUGUACAGAACGAAAAGGUUUCUACUAAUACUAGGAGCUCAUGACGGUACUGUAAGAAUAAGUACCGGCUAACUACGUGCCAGCAGCCGCCGUAA
rnacentral:rRNA from 1 species